rnacentral:rRNA from 1 species
UACAGAGGUCUCAAGCGUUGUUCGGAUUCAUUGGGCGUAAAGGGUGUGUAGGUGGCGCGCUAAGUCGGGUGUGAAAUUUCGGAGCUUAACUCCGAAACUGCAUUUGAUACUGGGCGUGCUUGAGGACUGGAGAGGAGACUGGAAUUCAUGGUGUAGCAGUGAAAUGCGUAGAGAUCAUGAGGAAGACCAGUGGCGAAGGCGGGUCUCUGGACAGUCCUGACACUGAGACACGAAGGCCAGGGGAGCAAACGGG